CAGUCGCCACGGUAAGACAGAGGAUGCAAGCGUUAUCCGGAAUGAUUGGGCGUAAAGCGUCUGUAGGUGGCUUUUCAAGUCCGCCGUCAAAUCCCAGGGCUCAACCCUGGACAGGCGGUGGAAACUACCAAGCUGGAGUACGGUAGGGGCAGAGGGAAUUUCCAGUGGAGCGGUGAAAUGCGUUGAGAUCGAAAAGAACACCAACAGCGAAAGCACUCUGCUGGGACGACACUGACACUAAGAGACGAAAGCUAGGGGAGCAAAUGGGAUUAGAUACCCCAGUAGUCCCUGUCUCUUAUAC
rnacentral:rRNA from 1 species